AAAUUCAAGAGCAAGCCCACCGGUCGCCACCAGUUCUCCACGCCAGAAGAUCUCCGUAAGCAUUGCAUGUUCUCACUCUCACUUUCACUCUCAGUGCUCUUAAUCUCUCAAUCUUGCUCUGUCUCCAUCUCAAUCUCUGAGCACUUUGAAUCUUUGGAUCUCAUUCUGCCUCCUCAAUUGCUUUUUACUUGUAAGUUAAAUUUCCAUUGUCUUCUUUCUUGGUCUCUUCAAUUUGGGAGUUUAGGUCCUUUAGAUCAUGUUUUUUUUUUUAAUUAAUGCUGAUUUUAUAUUAAAUCCUACAUCAGACUGAUAUUAUAAUUCAGCAACUUCAAGUCUUGUAAACCAUUCAUGCUUGAGACUAAUGAUUAUGAAUGUUAGGUCUUCUCUCCUAGGAUUGAGCUAUUUUGGCCAAUAAAAUAAUCGGAGGUGGUUGCUCUUCCACACCUUGAGGCUGAGAUUGAAAAAUCU
rnacentral:lncRNA from 1 species